AGCAGCCGCGGUAAUUCCAGCUCCAAUAGCGUAUAUUAAAGUUGUUGCAGUUAAAAAGCUCGUAGUUGAAUUUCGGGAUCAAAUUGUCGGUCGUGCCUCGGUACGCACUGGCGUUAUUGGUUCCUCCCUUCUGAAGAACCGCGAUGUCAUUAAUUUGGUGUCGCGGGGAAUCAGGACUGUUACUUUGAAAAAAUUAGAGUGUUUAAAGCAAGCUCGCGCUUGAAUACAUUAGCAUGGAAUAAUGAAAUAGGACGUUUGAUUCUAUUUUGUUGGUUUCUAGGAUCGACGUAAUGAUUAAUAGGGAUAGUUGGGGGCAUUAGUAUUCAAUUGUCAGAGGUGAAAUUCUUGGAUUUAUUGAAGACUAACUACUGCGAAAGCAUUUUGCCAAGGAUGUUUUCAUUAAUCAAGAACGAAAGUUAGGGGAUCGAAGACGAUCAGAUACCGUCGUAGUCUUAACCAUAAACUAUGCCGACUAGGGAUCGGAUGAUGUUAAUUUUUUAAUGACUCAUUCGGCGCCUUA
rnacentral:rRNA from 1 species